UCCUUGGAUUCCGCGCGUGGCAACGGCUUGGCGCGGCGCUCGGGCCUGCGCGGGCCCUCAGUAGACUACUUUCUCGAGAAAGCCGCGUCGUCCCCGCUCGACCCGCGGCCGCCCCGCUCCCCUCACCGCGAGGUGCAAAUGAUGCAAAAUGUGCACCUGGCCUCAGAGACAGAUGAAGAUGAUCUUUAUUCUGGUUAUAAUGACUACAAUCCAAUCUAUGAUACUGAGGAACUAGAGAAUGACACAGCUUUUCAGCAAGCCGUGAGAACUAGUCAUGGCAGAAGACCUCCAGUAA